CAGUAGCCGCGGUAAUACGUAGGGUGCAAGCGUUAAUCGGAAUUACUGGGCGUAAAGCGUGCGCAGGCGGUUUGUUAAGACAGAUGUGAAAUCCCCGGGCUCAACCUGGGAACUGCAUUUGUGACUGGCAGGCUAGAGUAUGGCAGAGGGGGGUGGAAUUCCGCGUGUAGCAGUGAAAUGCGUAGAUAUGCGGAGGAACACCGAUGGCGAAGGCAAUCCCCUGGGCCUGCACUGACGCUCAUGCACGAAAGCGUGGGGAGCAAACAGGAUUAGAUACCCCAGUAGUCCCUGUCUCUUAUAC
rnacentral:rRNA from 1 species